rnacentral:rRNA from 2 species
GAAAAGCCGCAGUGAAUAGGCCCAGGCGACUGUUUAGCAAAAACACAGGUCUCUGCGAAGCCGCAAGGCGAAGUAUAGGGGCUGACACCUGCCCGGUGCUGGAAGGUUAAGGGGAGAGGUUAGCGCAAGCGAAGCUUUGAACCGAAGCCCCAGUAAACGGCGGCCGUAACUAUAACGGUCCUAAGGUAGCGAAAUUCCUUGUCGGGUAAGUUCCGACCCGCACGAAAGGUGUAACGAUCUGGGCACUGUCUCAACGAGAGACUCGGUGAAAUUAUAGUACCUGUGAAGAUGCAGGUUACCCGCGACAGGACGGAAAGACCCCGUGGAGCUUUACUGCAGCCUGAUAUUGAAUUUUGGUACAGCUUGUACAGGAUAGGUAGGAGCCUGAGAAGCCGGAGCGCUAGCUUCGGUGGAGGCGUUGGUGGGAUACUACCCUGGCUGUAUUGAAAUUCUAACCCGCGCCCCUUAUCGGGGUGGGAGACAGUGUCAGGUGGGCAGUUUGACUGGGGCGGUCGCCUCCUAAAGAGUAACGGAGGCGCCCAAAGGUUCCCUCAGAAUGGUUGGAAAUCAUUCGUAGAGUGUAAAGGCACAAGGGAGCUUGACUGCGAGACCUACAAGUCGAGCAGGGACGAAAGUCGGGCUUAGUGAUCCGGUGGUUCCGCAUGGAAGGGCCAUCGCUCAACGGAUAAAAGCUACCCCGGGGAUAACAGGCUUAUCUCCCCCAAGAGUCCACAUCGACGGGGAGGUUUGGCACCUCGAUGUCGGCUCAUCGCAUCCUGGGGCUGUAGUCGGUCCCAAGGGUUGGGCUGUUCGCCCAUUAAAGCGGUACGCGAGCUGGGUUCAGAACGUCGUGAGACAGUUCGGUCCCUAUCCGUCGCGGGCGCAGGAAAUUUGAGAGGAGCUGUCCUUAGUACGAGAGGACCGGGAUGGACGCACCGCUGGUGUACCAGUUGUCUUGCCAAAGGCAUAGCUGGGUAGCUACGUGCGGACGGGAUAAGUGCUGAAAGCAUCUAAGCAUGAAGCCCCCCUCAAGAUGAGAUUUCCCAUGGCGCAAGCUAGUAAGAUCCCUGAAAGAUGAUCAGGUUGAUAGGUCAGAGGUGGAAGC